rnacentral:rRNA from 1 species
GGGUUGUGAGGUUAAGCGACUAAGCGUACACGGUGGAUGCCCUGGCAGUCAGAGGCGAUGAAGGGCGUGCUAAUCUGCGAUAAGCGCCGGUAAGGUGAUAUGAACCGUUAUAACCGGCGAUACCCGAAUGGGGAAACCCAGUGUGAUUCGUCACACUAUCAUUAACUGAAUCCAUAGGUUAAUGAGGCGAACCGGGGGAACUGAAACAUCUAAGUACCCCGAGGAAAAGAAAUCAACCGAGAUUCCCCCAGUAGCGGCGAGCGAACGGGGAGGAGCCCAGAGCCUGAAUCAGCAUGUGUGUUAGUGGAAGCGUCUGGAAAGGCGCGCGAUACAGGGUGACAGCCCCGUACACAAAAGCGCAUGUGCUGUGAGCUCGAUGAGUAGGGCGGGACACGUGGUAUCCUGUCUGAAUAUGGGGGGACCAUCCUCCAAGGCUAAAUACUCCUGACUGACCGAUAGUGAACCAGUACCGUGAGGGAAAGGCGAAAAGAACCCCGGCGAGGGGAGUGAAAAAGAACCUGAAACCGUGUACGUACAAGCAGUGGGAGCACCCUUUGGGUGUGACUGCGUACCUUUUGUAUAAUGGGUCAGCGACUUAUAUUCUGUAGCAAGGUUAACCGAAUAGGGGAGCCGGAGGGAAACCGAGUCUUAACCGGGCGUUAAGUUG